rnacentral:rRNA from 1 species
UACAGAGGGGGCAAGCGUUGUUCGGAAUUACUGGGCGUAAAGGGCGCGUAGGCGGCCUUCUAAGUCGAACGUGAAAUCCCCGGGCUCAACCCGGGAACCUGCGUCCGAUACUGGAAGGCUUGAAUCCGGGAGAGGGAUGCGGAAUUCCGAGGUGUAGGCGGUGAAAUGCGUAGAUAUCUGGAGGAACACCGGUGGCGAAGGCGGCAAGUCCAUGG